GGGCCGAUGGUCUAGCUCGGUAUGACGCAACGUUCGCAACGUUGAAAUCGUGGGUUCAAAUCCCACUCGGUCCA
rnacentral:tRNA from 1 species